GACGAACGCUGGCGGCGUGCUUAACACAUGCAAGUCGAACGGAAAGGCCCUGCUUUUGUGGGGUGCUCGAGUGGCGAACGGGUGAGUAACACGUGAGUAACCUGCCCUUGACUUUGGGAUAACUUCAGGAAACUGGGGCUAAUACCGGAUAGGAGCUCCUGCUGCAUGGUGGGGGUUGGAAAGUUUCGGCGGUUGGGGAUGGACUCGCGGCUUAUCAGCUUGUUGGUGGGGUAGUGGCUUACCAAGGCUUUGACGGGUAGCCGGCCUGAGAGGGUGACCGGCCACAUUGGGACUGAGAUACGGCCCAGACUCCUACGGGAGGCAGCAGUGGGGAAUAUUACACAAUGGGCGGAAGCCUGAUGCAGCAACGCCGCGUGCGGGAUGACGGCCUUCGGGUUGUAAACCGCUUUCGCCUGUGACGAAGCGUGAGUGACGGUAAUGGGUCAAGAAGCACCGGCUAACUACGUG
rnacentral:rRNA from 1 species